rnacentral:tRNA from 1 species
CGGGGUAGCCCCUUAGCGCGUCCCGACACUCGUGUCGGGAAGGCCGGAGGUUCGAAUCCUCUCACCCCGA